AACGAACGCUGGCGGCAUGCCUAAUACAUGCAAGUCGAACGAUCACUUCGGUGGUAGUGGCGCACGGGUGCGUAACGCGUGGGAAUCUGCCCUUGGGUUCGGAAUAACGUCGGGAAACUGACGCUAAUACCGGAUGAUGACGUAAGUCCAAAGAUUUAUCGCCCAGGGAUGAGCCCGCGUAGGAUUAGCUAGUUGGUGGGGUAAAGGCCUACCAAGGCGACGAUCCUUAGCUGGUCUGAGAGGAUGAUCAGCCACACUGGGACUGAGACACGGCCCAGACUCCUACGGGAGGCAGCAGUAGGGAAUAUUGGACAAUGGGGGCAACCCUGAUCCAGCAAUGCCGCGUGAGUGAUGAAGGCCUUAGGGUUGUAAAGCUCUUUUACCCGGGAUGAUAAUGACAGUACCGGGAGAAUAAGCCCCGGCUAACUCCGUGCCAGCAGCCGCCGUAACAC
rnacentral:rRNA from 1 species